rnacentral:rRNA from 1 species
GACGAACGCUGGCGGCGUGCCUAAUACAUGCAAGUAGAACGCUGAAGGAGGAGCUUGCUUCUCCGGAUGAGUUGCGAACGGGUGAGUAACGCGUAGGUAACCUGCCUGGUAGCGGGGGAUAACUAUUGGAAACGAUAGCUAAUACCGCAUAACAGUAGAUAUUGCAUGAUAUCUGCUUGAAAGUUGCAAUUGCAUCACUACCAGAUGGACCUGCGUUGUAUUAGCUAGUUGGUGGGGUAACGGCUCACCAAGGCGACGAUACAUAGCCGACCUGAGAGGGUGAUCGGCCAAAAUGGGAAUGAGACAAGGCCCAGACUCCCAAGGGAGGCAGCAGUAGGGAAUCUUCGGACAUGGACGGAAGUCUGACCGAGCAACGACGGGUGAGUGAAGAAGGUUUUCGGAUCGUAAAGCUCUGUUGUAAGAGAAGAAAGAGUGUGAGAGUGGAAAGUUCACACUGUGACGGUAUCUUAACAGAAAGGGACGGCUAACUACGUG